rnacentral:rRNA from 1 species
CAGUCGCCGCGGUAAUACGUAGGGUGCGAGCGUUAAUCGGAAUUACUGGGCGUAAAGCGUGCGCAGGCGGUUUUGUAAGACAGGCGUGAAAUCCCCGGGCUCAACCUGGGAACUGCAUUUGUGACUGGCAGGCUAGAGUAUGGCAGAGGGGGGUGGAAUUCCGCGUGUAGCAGUGAAAUGCGUAGAUAUGCGGAGGAACACCGAUGGCGAAGGCAGCCCCCUGGGCCAAUACUGACGCUCAUGCACGAAAGCGUGGGGAGCAAACAGGAUUAGAUACCCCUGUAGUCCCUGUCUCUUAUAC